AUGCCAAAAAAUUAGCUGGGCAUGGCGACAUGUGCCUGUAAUCCCAGCUGCUCAAGAGACGGAGGCAAGAGAAUCACUUCAACCCAGGAGGUGGAGGUUGCAGUGAGCUGAGGUAGUGCCACUGCACUCCACCCUGGGUGACAGAGAG
rnacentral:snoRNA from 1 species